AGUGGAAACUGGCAGAUCAAACACACGGAGCCAGUGCAGAGCAUCAUUGGUUCCCUCACCUCAGGGAAUGUCACCUGUGCUGUUUCUGACUUGCAGGGGGCGCAGUGAGGCUGGUGCACCAUCCUUACUUCCCUGCAGCAGCCAGUCCUCAGAAGACUCAUUCAGACAGUCCUGCGUCAGUGUGCCUGGCAUAUCCACGGGGACCGUACUUGGUGCUGGGAGUAUUGGAACAGAUAUUGCAAACGAGGUUCUGAGUUUACAGAGGUAAAGUUUUAUCAUUGCAAAUAUUCUCAUAUAAAUGGCUCUUAGUUAUAAACCAGUACAGUGUGUAUGUGUGUG
rnacentral:lncRNA from 1 species